AUAUAUAUAUAUAUAUAUAUAUAUCAUUGGUACAGGGAAUUCCAGGUGAGGAAAUCUGUACCAGUUCAGAUUGGCAUUUUCUCAGCAACUUUUCAUAUUAAAGAGUUGCCUAGAAUACUAAAAUAUUAAGUGACCUAUCCAGUGUCAUGCAUGCAGUAUGUGCCAGAAGCAGGGUACGGACUCAACUCUUCCUGAUUUCCAGUAAUUAUUUUUUGGAAGAUGUGAAAAAAAUCAUCUGUGGACAUGGUCAGAAUUUACUGAUGAUGGCUUGGUUUACUGGGUGGAGCUGUCAGAGAAAGCCUGAAGUACAAAUAAGAUUAUUCCCUGAGGCAAGCAGGGAAGGGCCCUGAUGGGGAUCAGCUGAGCCUUACAGUGGGAGUCUUGGAUCUGGCAGGAUAAGAUACCAGACACCGAGGUUCUUUUUUGAACUAAACUGACAAGCAUUCCAACUCUACUGCAGCGAGCUCAGCUCAGUUGGGCUGAUCACAUUGUCCAAAUGCCAAAAGUACUCUUGCCAAUAAGAUUAUUUUAUGGAGAACUCACACAGACUAAGUGCUCACAAGGGCAGAAAAGGCGAUACAAGGACACUCUCAAGGUCUCUCUUCAGAACUUUAAAAUUGAUUGUAUGACAUGGCAGACACUGGCACAGGACUGCCCAGCAUGGUGUGCCCUCAUCAGAAAAGGGGCUGCGCUCUAUGAUCGAAGCAGAAUUGAAUUAGCUCAGAAGAAAUGUGAGAGGCACAAAUUUAGAAAAGCCCCUGAAAUGGUCAUAGAGACUAUUGGUGUGCAGAGCAUUCCAAGCUCUUAUUAGAAUGAUUAGCCACAGUUGAACUCACUAUAACUCAAACAUACUGAUUUCAUUUUGGUCCUCUUCAAGAAUGAAGGACAACCACCAACUAUAUGAAUAAAAAUACUGUAAAUCCACUUGAACUGGUUUGAACUUUAUAAUUACUGGAAUUCUUUCAGUUGUAAAGCCAUAUAUAUUACUGUCAUUAUCUUCUUUUAUUGGCUAUGCAGAGGCAGAACUAUUGUUAUGGUCUCGAUAUAUUCUAUUUAUACCCUGAAAAUCUCUUUAUUUUAAGUCUUUUUCUCCACUAGUUAAUAAAAAUAGUAAUUAAAAUAUUUAUUUAUAUCAAAAUUUGUUAUUGGUGCUUAAAUCACUUUAGUAAAAUCUCACGGAUUUUGUUUGUGCAGAAGAAAAAAAUUCAGGGUUGAAAAUCUUAUUAUAAUUAUUAUUAAAUAAUCUUUUUUUCUUAUUAUGGCUGAACAUUACACACGGCAGUUUCUUACUAUAGGUGAAUAUUACAUCUGGCAAUUCCCAUCCAGAGCCUGCUCAAGCUGAAAAGUGAUUUUCUGCUAGUUAAACCAUUUCAGUGUUUUUAGGUCAACAUUCUGAUGUUGUGGUUGGAUUUAAUAAAAAUUCUGCUUUUGUCAUUGUA